rnacentral:rRNA from 1 species
UACGGAGGAUCCAAGCGUUAUCCGGAUUUAUUGGGUUUAAAGGGUGCGUAGGCGGCGCGCUAAGUCAGUGGUGAAAGACGGUGGCUCAACCAUCGCAGUGCCGUUGAUACUGGCGCGCUUGAAUGCGGAUGAGGUAGGCGGAAUGUGGCAAGUAGCGGUGAAAUGCAUAGAUAUGCCACAGAACACCGAUUGCGAAGGCAGCUUACCAAGGCGCGAUUGACGCUGAUGCACGAAAGCGUGGGGAUCGAACAGG